GCAUAAUCCGUGCCUGGAACUUCAUCCACAGCUGGGGAAUCAUCCACAGCUGGGGCAUCAUCCACAGCUGGGGCAUCAUCCACAACUGGGGUCAUCAUCCACGGCUAGGGCAUCAUCCACAACUGGGGGCUUCAUC